rnacentral:rRNA from 1 species
GUGGGGAAUUUUGGACAAUGGGCGCAAGCCUGAUCCAGCAAUGCCGCGUGCAGGAAGAAGGCCUUCGGGUUGUAAACUGCUUUUGUACGGAACGAAACGGUCCUGGCUAAUAUCCGGGGCUAAUGACGGUACCGUAAGAAUAAGCACCGGCUAACUACGUGCCAGCAGCCGCGGUAAUACGUAGGGUGCGAGCGUUAAUCGGAAUUACUGGGCGUAAAGCGUGCGCAGGCGGUGCUGUAAGACAGGCGUGAAAUCCCCGGGCUCAACCUGGGAAUUGCGCUUGUGACUGCAGUGCUGGAGUGCGGCAGAGGGGGAUGGAAUUCCGCGUGUAGCAGUGAAAUGCGUAGAUAUGCGGAGGAACACCGAUGGCGAAGGCAAUCCCCUGGGCCUGCACUGACGCUCAUGCACGAAAGCGUGGGGAGCAAACAGGAUUAGAAACCCUAGUAGUCC